rnacentral:rRNA from 1 species
UACGUAGGGUGCGAGCGUUGUCCGGAAUUAUUGGGCGUAAAGAGCUUGUAGGCGGUUUGUCGCGUCUGCUGUGAAAUUUCGGGGCUCAACCCCGAACUUGCAGUGGGUACGGGCAGACUAGAGUGUGGUAGGGGAGACUGGAAUUCCUGGUGUAGCGGUGAAAUGCGCAGAUAUCAGGAGGAACACCGGUGGCGAAGGCGGGUCUCUGGGCCGAUACUGACGCUGGAGGUGCGGAAAGCGUGGGGAGCAAACAGG